rnacentral:rRNA from 1 species
AAAUACUCCCGAGAGACCGAUAGCGAACCAGUACCGUGAGGGAAAGGUGAAAAGAACCCCGAGCAGGGGAGUGAAAUAGACCCUGAACCCGUCUGCCUACAAGCGGUCGGAGCGUUGUUAUGACGUGACGGCGUGCCUUUUGCAUAAUGAACCUACGAGUUACCUUCCCCGGCAAGGUUAAGUACCUAAGGUACGGAGCCGAAGCGAAAGCGAGUCUGAACAGGGCGGCCAGUCGGGGGGGGUAGACGCGAAACCGAGUGAUCUACCCUUGGCCAGGUUGAAGGUUGGGUAACACCAACUGGAGGACCGGAUGGGUAAGCGUUGAAAAGCUUUCCAAUGAGCUGAGGGUAGGGGUGAAAGGCUAAUCAAACUCGGAGAUAGCUCGUACUCCCCGAAAUGCAUUUAGGUGCAGCCUCUUUAUAGUAUAUCGUGAGGUAGAGCGACUGAUUGGAUGCGAGGGCUUCACCGCCUAUCAAGUCCAGAUAAACUCCGAAUGCGCGAUAUAUAUUUAAAGGGAGUGAGGGCGCGGGUGCUAAGGUCCGUGUCCGAGAGGAGAAGAAUCCAGACCACCGGCUAAGGCCCCCAAAUGAUCGUUGAGUUGAACUAACGAGGUCGGAUCGCAGAGACAGCUAGGAUGUUGGCUUGGAAGCAGCCAUUCAUUUAAAGAGUGCGUAACAGCUCACUAGUCGAGCGAUCUGGCGUGGAUAAUAAUCGGGCAUAAACGAUCUGCCGAAGCCGUGGAUGUCGUAAGACAUGGUAGGGGAGCAUUCCAUGCGGCGUCGAAGAUGAGGGAUGACCCUUGUUGGAGCGCAUGGAAAAGCAAAUGUAGGUAUGAGUAACGAUAAGGGGGGCGAGAAACCCCCCCGCCGAAAGACCAAGGUUUCCUGAUCAACGCUAAUCGGAUCAGGGUGAGUCGGGACCUAAGGCAAAGCCGAACGGCGCCGCCGAUGGAAGAAUGGGUUAAUAUUCCCAUACUGCCUCAUGGAGUGACGUGGAGACGGAGAAGUGACAGUCCUGCCGGCUGACGGAAUAGCCGGUUGAAGGGUGUAGAUAUUGAUUCCCGUAGGCAAAUCCGCGGGGAGAGUCGAACCUGAGAGUAUACGGAGCGCUUGCGCGACGUAAUAUGGACGUAACCAUGCUCCCAAGAAAAUCCGCUAAACUUAUCCAUGCGGCACCCGUACCGUAAACGGACACACGUGGUCGGGUUGAGAAUACUGAGGCGCUCGAGUGACUCACGGUUAAGGAACUAGGCAAAUUGACCCUGUAACUUCGGGAUAAAGGGUCCUCGUCGUAAGGCGAGGCGCAGAGAAUAGGUCCAGGCAACUGUUUAACAAAAACACAUGGCUGUGCUAAAUGGAAACAUGACGUAUACAGCCUGACA